UACAGAGGGGGCGAGCGUUAUUCGGAAUUAUUGGGCGUAAAGGGCGCGUAGGCGGCCUUUCAAGUGACGGGUGAAAUCCCUCGGCUUAACCGAGGAGCUGCCUGUCAGACUGGGAGGCUUGAGACCGGGAGAGGUGAGUGGAAUUCCCAGUGUAGCGGUGAAAUGCGUAGAUAUUGGGAGGAACACCAGUGGCGAAGGCGGCUCACUGGACCGGAACUGACGCUGAGGCGCGAAAGCGUGGGGAGCAAACAGG
rnacentral:rRNA from 1 species